AACGAACGCUGGCGGCAGGCCUAACACGUGCAAGACGAGCGCACCCUUCGGGGCGAGCGGCGGACGGGUUAGUAACGCGUGGGAACGUGCCCAGAUCUGCGGAAUAGCCACUGGAAACGGUGAGUAAUACCGCAUACGCCCUUCGGGGAAAGAUUUAUCGGAUUUGGAUCGGCCCGCGUUAGAUUAGAUAGUUGGUGGGGUAACGGCCUACCAAGUCUACGAUCUAUAGCUGGUUUUAGAGGAUGAUCAGCAACACUGGGACUGAGACACGGCCCAGACUCCUACGGGAGGCAGCAGUGGGGAAUCUUAGACAAUGGGCGCAAGCCUGAUCUAGCCAUGCCGCGUGAGUGAUGAAGGCCUUAGGGUCUAAAGCUCUUUCGCCAGGGAUGAUAAUGACAGUACCUGGU
rnacentral:rRNA from 1 species